ACGGUCUAGCACCGGCGACGGAUCAUUCAAGUGUCUGCCCUAUCAACUUUCGUCGGUACGGUAUUUGCCUACCGAGGUUCUUACGGGUGACGGGGAAUCAGGGUUCGAUUCCGGAGAGGGAGCCUGAGAAACGGCUACCACAUCCAAGGAAGGCAGCAGGCGCGCAAAUUACCCAUUCCCGACGCGGGGAGGUAGUGACGAAAAAUAACAAUGCAGGACUCGUUCGAGGCCCUGUAAUUGGAAUGAGUACACUUUAAAAGCUUUAACGAGUAUCCAUUGGAGGGCAAGUCUGGUGCCAGCAGCCGCGGUAAUUCCAGCUCCAAAAGUAUAUAUUUAAGUUGUUGCGGUUAAAAAGCUCGUAGUUGGAUUUUGGGCGCAGGCGGCCGGUCCGUCGCAAGGCGUGUACUGGACGUCCUGGCCUUCCCUCCGGUUCUCCGCCGGUGCUCUUGACUGAGUGUCGGCGGCGGCCGGAACGUUUACUUUGAAAAAAUUAGAGUGUUCAAAGCAGGCUCUCGAGCCUGGAUAAUGGUGCAUGGAAUAAUGGAAUAGGACCUCGGUUCUAUUUUGUUGGUUUUCGGAGCGCGAGGUAAUGAUUAAGAGGGACAGACGGGGGCAUUCGUACUGUGCCGUUAGAGGUGAAAUUCUUGGAUCGGCGCAAGACGAACGACUGCGAAAGAUUUGCCAAGAAUGUUUUCUUUAUCAAGAGCGAAAGUCAG
rnacentral:ncRNA from 1 species